rnacentral:rRNA from 1 species
UCCCUUAGAUGUCCUGGGCUGCACGCGCGCUACACUGGAAGUUACGGAUUGAGAUACUACCUUGUCCGAAAUGGUCCGGGUAAUCACCUAAAAGCUUGUCAUAAUUGGAAUGGAUUAUUGUAACUAGUAAUCCUGAACGAGGAAUUCCUAGUAAGUCCCAGUCAACAGCUGGUACUGAUUACGUCCCUGCCCUUUGUACACACCGCCCGUCGCUACUACUGAUUGGACGUUUAAGCAAGAUUUUUAAACACUGACAGUGUGUAGUUCACGCUAUACUACAGUGAGAAGAAGAAGAUCGAGCUUACUUGUCUAGAGGAAGUAAAAGUCGUAACA